GUCAAAAACUCUGAAGAGCGCCCCCGAUUCGUCACCGGGGUCCACCGCAGGAGCAAGCCUCAUCCGAGGUGAAUCUCUCAGGUUUCAAACAGAGGGGGUCAU
rnacentral:ncRNA from 2 species